AUUGAACGCUGGCGGCAGGCCUAACACAUGCAAGUCGAGCGAGCGGCGGACGGGUGAGUAAUGUCUGGGAAACUGCCUGAUGGAGGGGGAUAACUACUGGAAACGGUAGCUAAUACCGCAUACCAUCAGAUGUACCCAGAUGGGAUUAGCUAGUAGGUGGGGUAAUGGCUCACCUAGGCGACGAUCCCUAGCUGGUCUGAGAGGAUGACCAGCCACACUGGAACGGAGACACGGUCCAGACUCCUACGGGAGGCAGCAGUGGGGAAUAUUGGGCAAUGGGCGAAAGUCUGAUGGAGCCACGCCGCGUGUGUGAAGAAGGUUUUCGGAUUGUAAAGCACUGUUAUUGGAGAGGCGGUAUCUACCGAAGAAGCACCGGCUAACUACGUGCCAGCCGCCGCGGUAAUUC
rnacentral:rRNA from 1 species